CAUAAGUUUUCCUUCAAGUAACUGUAAAAAAAAAUCCAACGUCAAUUUAGAAAAAAAUUUAUGAACAUAAUAUGAAAUUAAUUUUUUUAUGAAAUCGAGUAAAAUAACGAUAUAUUACAAUUUAAAUAUAGGUAAAAGUGGUUAUAAAACUAAUAGAUCUGCUACAAAAAAUUGGGUUUAAAAUCAUGAUGAAAUAUAACAUUGAUACUUGGUGCCAACAUUAUAUAACCAAAUUAUAUACAAAAAAAACAAAAGUUCAAAACACAGGACCAGUAAUUUAAGCUCACCGAUGAAGAUAUCAAAACCAUUGGGGAUAAAUCAAAAGACAACAAGAAACAUGUUAAAUUAUUAUUGUUAAAAUAAACCUAGAAAUAUUAUUUAAUUAAUUAUCUUGUAUGUUGAAAUAAAUAAUAUUUAAGAUUCGUGGAACCCACUGUUUUAUUUGUAUUCUUAGUAUUUACUCGUAAGGUAAAAGUGCUUGUCAUUAAUAAAUUAUUUAUCUAAAUUUA